CAACAAUUAGGAAACGAAUGCUAACUACCCCAUAUGUCUUUCGAGUAGAAAUGGUAUUUUAUCCGCCUAGAGAGAAGCUCGGCGGCUGUAUUAGCUUGUUGGUAAGGUAAGAGCUUACCAAGGCGACGAUCAGUAUCUGGUUUGAGAGGACGACCAGCCACACUGGAACUGAGACACGGUCCAGACUCCUACGGGAGGCAGCAGGUGGGGUAAUUUUUGGAACAAGUGGGGGAAACCCUGAUCCAGCAAUGCCGCGUGAGUGAAGAAGGCCUUCGGGUUGUAAACCUUCUUUUAGCAGGGAAGAAGCGAAAGUGACGGUACCUGCAGAAAAAGCACCGGCUAACUACGUG
rnacentral:rRNA from 1 species